rnacentral:lncRNA from 1 species
AUCAGCACUGCUUGUGGUGCCCUCAUUUUUAUGCAGUGUACACGUCCUUGUAAGGAUGGCUGGAAUACAGCAUUCAGAGCAAGACUUGUGUUCUUCCCCAGAUCGCACAUCAUGAAGUUACAUUUCCUUAGGCACAGCUUCCCUUGUUCGGGAACGAAUGUUCUUAUAGCUGCUUGUAAGGAAAUUCUUUCAGAUGUGAAAGUUGUGACUGAUGGGGGAAGAUAAGAAAGUCAGAGGCAUAUACAGAAUAAAUUGCACGUUCUUCUGUUUUCUGUAAGGAGCUACGAUACAUGUUGGAAUGGUAAACUGACAUUCUCUUGACGUUCCAGGCUAGAGCCACCAGCAUCAGACUGUCCCCUGGAUAUAAAUAAUGUUUUCUACAGAGUGAAAGGAGCUCCACAAAGAGGUACUGACAGAGAUCAACCACAGAAUUGCUGACAGCCUGGUGUUUGUAUUUGAUGGUGGAUUAUGAAGUUCAGAUUUGCAGUUGGACACUGGAAACGCACUGCUCAGAGCUAUG